GCUGCGGUGUCCGAGUGGUUAAGGAGAUGGACUUGAAAUCCAUUGGGUUCUACCCGCACAGGUUCGAAUCCUGUCUGCAGCG
rnacentral:tRNA from 1 species